rnacentral:rRNA from 1 species
GAAAUUUAUAAUAAUAAAAUAUUAUUAUUCACGAAGCCAGGCGAGCUAAAUCCUAUUUUUUAUUAGUAGAUGAUUGUUAGUGUAUCAAUACUAAUAUAACACAAGAAUUUAGGGGUGAAAGGCCUUUCAAGUCUGUCAAUAUCUUGAUUAUAAGUAAAGAUAUUUAGUAUAGAAUUAACCUAAAAAUGAUAAGGUUUUUAGGAUUCAUAAUUUUAAAAUUCUGAUUAACUGAAUGUGUAAAAAUUCCUGUUUAAAUUAAGUAGAACAUAGAUUGUUAAAGAUAUAUGUAUAUUAUUUAUAUUUUUAAAUUGACAUAGAUUUUAAACUAAAAAUGAUUUCAUUAGUAUUUUACUUAUUUUUUUUUAAGGAACUCGGCAAAAAUUUUUCUCGACUGUUUAACAAAAACAUUGCUUUAAGUUAUUAUUUCAAGUUUGCCCUGCUCAAUGAUAUUAAUUAAAUAGCCGCAGUACCCUGACUGUGCAAAGGUAGCAUAAUCAAUUGGCUUAUAAUUGAAGUCUAGUAUGAAUGGGAAUCCGGGAAUAAGCUAUCUAAAAAAAACUCUUAGAACUUACUUAAUAAGUGAAAAUUCUUAUAUUUAGAAAAAAGACGAGAAGACCCUAGAAAUUUUUAGUAGAACUUUUGUAUAUUACAUAAAAUAUUUUGUUGGGGCGACAUGGUAACAUUUAUUAUAUAGAACUUACCAAAAAAUUUUAAGAAAUUAUUUAAUAGAAUAUAUAAAUUACUCUAGGGAUAACAGCAUAAUUUAUUAUUAAGAUUUUGACCUCGAUGUUGGACUAGGAAAUUAUUUACUUAAAAGGUAAAUAAGAAAGCUCUGUUCGAGCUAUAUCUCACCUACAUGAUCUGAGUUCAGACCGG